UAAUCUGUUUGUGACAGAUUCUCAUUUAGUUAUGACAGACUCGCCCCUGACUGCUCGGAAUCACUCACUACUAUGUGAACAAUAAUUUUUUGAGAUUUUAAUUGGAAU
rfam:Populus trichocarpa isolate Nisqually-1 chromosome 16, whole genome shotgun sequence.